GGCCUGCUCGCGCUGGCGUUGGUGGGUGAUUUCGCGAAUCACCCCGAUCAUUCGGGGCCGGCCGUUCUUGUCUGGCAGCAGGCUGCC
rnacentral:tRNA from 1 species